rnacentral:lncRNA from 1 species
UUUUUGUUCUCAUGUUAAUUAGGUCGAAGGUGUUAUUAUUCUACUGACAAUAAAAUAUAUAGAAAAUUUCAUAAAAGUCUACUUUUUAACAUUUGUUCCUUCAUAAGUCCACCUUAAUCUUUUUACCCAUAUAAGUCCACUUUAAGGGUCAGAUUCGUCAUCUUUCUUUCAUUUCAUACCUAAAAUACCCUCCCAAUCACUCCCUACAAAAAAAAACGGCNNNNNNNNNNNNNNNNNNNNCUCUCUCUCUCUCUCUCUCUCUCUCUCUCUCUCUCUCUCUCUCUCUCUCUCUCUCUCUCUCUCUCUCUCUCUCUCUCUCUCUCUCUCUCUCUCUCCGUUGAUAUCUCUCUCUCUCCGGCGUGAGGGCCUCCGGAAAUUGACUAGAGCCCUAAAUCCCUCACUGGAAAUCUAAGCCUUAGGGCCUCCGCUGCCUUAUACAGCCUCCACGUCGUAUCCUUCAUCCUCGGCACAUCGUCGCCGCUAAUAGCAACGCCGCCGCCUCCGUGUCCUCGAUCUCAUCGAAGUCUGGAGCCGACCCGAAUGUCGAUGAGCCGUAAUAGAUCGAUCUCAGAUCUUCAAUUCUGAACAACGAGACCUCUACCUCGUCCGAUCCUCCGAUCAUCUCAUCGUCAUCGCCGACAGUACCUUCUCCGAUCGGCCUCGGCACGUCGACUGUCAUCGUCGUCUUCGUCUGCGCAACUUCCUGUAUGAGUUCAAGAUGGUGACAACGAAGGUGAUUCGUCGGUGAGGUGUCCGGCGGACUGACAAGAACACCGGCCGAUCCAAGGGCUAUGGUUUUGUGAGUAUUUUGAUUCGUUUCUAUUCUAGUUCAAUCUUGAUCACGCAUCACUGACUGCUAAUUUAGUUGUGGAGUUUGAUGAAUCAAUAGACGUAUGAGUUUUUGAAUGGAGUGUUUUGUGUUUCUGUUGAGGAUUUUGGUGACUUUCAACGAGCUAAAGGCUGCUGCCAUGGCAUGUGCUGAUCUGAUGGCCGCCAGAAGACUUUAAGUUGGCUUCAGGUGGUGGUAAUAGUUUUUGUAGAUGGUAGUAGUAGCUUUUGUGGCUGGUGGUAAUAUUUUUUGUGUUUGUCACCUCACAAUAGUAGCUUUUGUAGGCGGUGGUAGUAGCUUUUAUGGCUGGUGGUAGUAGUUUUUGUGUUCGUCAGAAACCUCACAGUAGUAGCUUUUGUAGGCGAUGGUAGUAGCUUUUGUAGCUUGUGGUAGUAGCUUUUGUGGUUGGUGGUAGCAGUUUGUGGUAGUAGCUUUUGUGUUCAUUGGAAACCUCACAGUAGUAGCUUUUGUAGGUGGUGGUAGUAGCUUUUGUAGCUGGUGGUAGUAGCUUUUGUGGUUGGUAGUAGUAAUUUUUGUCAUCGUUGGAGGCCGGUCGAAAACCUCACCGGAGGUCAGCCGGAAACCUCACCGGAGGUCGGUCGGAGACUUUUCCGAGAUGAGAGUGGUUGUUGACUUUUUAUACUAGUGGCAUUCUUGUAAAUACAAGGGAGAGAAUCUAAUUUUUUUUGUUGGAUGACAGUCUGUAAUUUUGUUCAACUUCUAUACCUAAUAUAAAACCCUAUUUAGGCUUACGUGGACUUAUGUGAAUAAAAAUGUUUGGGUGGACUUAUAUGAAAUAAAAUGUCUAAAAGUAGACUUCUAUGUAAUUGGCCAUAAAAUAUAACAAAUAAGAACAAUUAUCGAGGGAUAUAUCUAUUUAGUAUAUAUAUAUAUAUAUAUACGCCCCUUCAUUCAUAUUCUAUGUAUUUGACAUUGGUUUAGUCAUUCUCUCAGUAUACUUUCUAUAUUCGCAGGGGCGGAACUACGUUUUGUCAUAAAGUGGUCCAGACCCCCCCUCAUCAUCUAUCUCAACAUAAAUCACUAUAUAAACCUCACACUAUUGUAGUAAUUUAGUGUUAAUUCAUUCAUGAAAUCCCCCCUAAUCAAUGACAAUGACAACUAAGGAACAUAAAAAAAGAGAGAUUAACAGCCAAUUACACCUAAUUUAUUAAAGGAAAUACGAAAAUGUUGCUUAAAUUUACAAGAUUUUGCAAUUAAUUAUAUUGAUGUAUAGCUUAUUCAAUUGUUUUAUUUUAUAAAAUUUGAUAAAGUAUGUUUGGCUUGUUACAUUCAACAUUAUUAUUUUUUAUACUAUCAUGUUCUAUAUCUCGGCCCCCCUAAGGUUCUAAUCCUGGCUCCGCCUCUGUAUAUUCAAAGAAAAAUUCCCC